UGCGGAAGACGCGCGGCGAGGACGCCGAGGCGCCGCGGUGACGGGCCUGCGCGUGCUGUGGGAGCCGCUUUCUCUACGGUGUGGUUUUGUGGAACCCAAGAAAGAAGGUACCUACCCAGAAGGGCUCCUGGUAGCUUAAGGGGGCUUAAAUUUCUAAAAAGGAAAAAAAAAAAAAAAAGCAGCCUUUUUUACAUAGGGGCCUCUCGGGCAAACUGCACUUCGAGGAGAAGCUUGCACCGAACCACCUGCCACUCUACUGAACUGCCUGCCUGCGCUGUGUUUCUGCCUCUGAGCCAACCCUCAUAAAGGAAUUCCUGGAAUCCUAUUUCAGCCAAUAAGACUGAGGCUUUUCCCAUCCAAUAGGAGCUGUGCAGCUGUAUCUCCAUCAGCUUCUUCACCCAUCAGUUGAGUGGCUCUAUUCCAAUCAGUCAUGACAGUGCCUUCUGGACCAAUCAAGCUGUAAAGAUUUGGAGUUCUCAUUUGUGUAAGGACAGAUCCAUCAGGGACCAGGGGUGGGAACUUCCGUCUAUAUAAGUCAGCUUCUCUCUGGCUCUGGGAACGCACUUUCCCCUUCCAAUAAAGACUGCUUCCCUGGCUGAGCUGAAACACUGAACAUCUUUGAACAGAGUGGAGAGACCAGAGAAGAGCAGAACAGAACUGUCUAGCUGCCGAGAGGUCUGGCCCCAGGGCUGCCUCACAGCUACACUGUACCACAGUUUAGUUGCUUUGCACUGAAUAAAGUUUCCUUCUUCACACCACCCCACAUUGGGGAUUCCUGUUGACCUCCAAUUGACGCCAACGAGCAUCAGUUUACAGUUUUCUGCAUAACUGUACAUCCCUAAACUUUAUCAUUUAGUGGUUUGAAAUUUCUAUAAAUUGAAUGAUUUCAUGCUUGGUUUCUUUGAAGUAAAUUCUGAGACUCGUGA